CUCCGGGAGAUAGGCUGGCCAGCAUGGCGGACAUACUCACCGAAACGGAUAGUGAUAGCGGCGAAAGUACGACUGAAUCUUCAUCAAGUGAGCGUUUCGACGGAUGAUGAACAGAAUCCAGUUGAUGAACAGGUCUUGCAACUGCUGCCCCAUAUGUUCGAACCUGACUCCUCAUCAGACGACGAAAAUGAAGGGGAAGAUGGAGCCAAUGCUGAUGAUGACGAGGAAACGAGAAUGCGAUGGCGACUUGACAUCGACAGACUGUCCGAAUGGUGCACUUGUUCACAUUGCCAAGUCCUGCCUCUUGC